rnacentral:tRNA from 1 species
AUUUAAAUAGCUUAAAAUGAGAGCGUAAUAUUGAAGAUAUUAAAGUGAUUAAUUAAUCUUUAGAUA